GAUGAAGAACGCAGCGAAAUGCGAUACGUAAUGUGAAUUGCAAAUUCAGUGAAUCAUCGAGUCAUUGAACGCACAUUGCGCCCCCUGGUAUUCCGGGGGGCAUGCCUGUCCGAGCGUCAUUGCUGCCCUCAAGCACGGCUUGUGUGUUGGGCCCCGUCCUCCGAUCCCGGGGGACGGGCCCGAAAGGCAGCGGCGGCACCGCGUCCGGUCCUCGAGCGUAUGGGGCUUUGUCACCCGCUCUGUAGGCCCGGCCGGCGCUUGCCGAUCAACCCAAAUUUUUAUCCAGGUUGACCUCGGAUCAGGUAGGGAUACCCGCUGAACUUAAGCAUAUCAAUAAGCGGAGGA
rnacentral:misc_RNA from 1 species